rnacentral:rRNA from 1 species
UGGGGAAUAUUGCACAAUGGAGGGAACUCUGAUGCAGCGACGCCGCGUGAACGAAGAAGGCUUUCGAGUCGUAAAGUUCUUUUAUAUGGGAAGAUAAUGACGGUACCUAACCAGAAAGCCACGGCUAACUACGUGCCAGCAGCCGCGGUAAUACGUAGGUGGCAAGCGUUGUCCGGAAUUAUUGGGCGUAAAGCGCGCGCAGGUGGUUUAGAAAGUCUGAUGUGAAAGCCCACGGCUCAACCGUGGAGGGUCAUUGGAAACUAAUAAACUUGAGUGCAGGAGAGAAAAGUGGAAUUCCUAGUGUAGCGGUGAAAUGCGUAGAGAUUAGGAGGAACACCGGUGGCGAAAGCGGCUUUUUGGCCUGCGACUGACACUGAGGCGCGAAAGCGUGGGGAGCAAACAGG